rnacentral:rRNA from 1 species
GACGAACGCUGGCGGCGUGCCUAAUACAUGCAAGUAGAACGCUGAAGGAAGGAGCUUGCUCUUUCUGGAUGAGUUGCGAACGGGUGAGUAACGCGUAGGUAACCUGCCUGGUAGCGGGGGAUAACUAUUGGAAACGAUAGCUAAUACCGCAUAAAAUUGAUUAUUGCAUGAUAGUCAAUUAAAAGGUGCAACUGCACCACUACCAGAUGGACCUGCGUUGUAUUAGCUAGUUGGUGGGGUAACGGCUCACCAAGGCGACGAUACAUAGCCGACCUGAGAGGGUGAUCGGCCACACUGGGACUGAGACACGGCCCAGACUCCUACGGGAGGCAGCAGUAGGGAAUCUUCGGCAAUGGACGGAAGUCUGACCGAGCAACGCCGCGUGAGUGAAGAAGGUUUUCGGAUCGUAAAGCUGUGUUGUAAGAGAAGAACGAGUGUGAGAGUGGAAAGUUCACACUGUGACGGUAUCUUACCAGAAAGGGACGGCUAACUACGUG